GACGAACGCUGGCGGCGUGCUUAACACAUGCAAGUCGAACGGUGACCUCGAGAGCUUGCUCUUGAGUGAUCAGUGGCGAACGGGUGAGUAACACGUGAGUAACCUGCCCCAGACUCUGGAAUAACCCCGGGAAACCGGAGCUAAUACCGGAUACGAAGUGGAGCCGCAUGGCUACUACUUGGAAAGUUUUUCGGUCUGGGAUGGACUCGCGGCCUAUCAGCUAGUUGGUGAGGUAACGGCUCACCAAGGCGACGACGGGUAGCCGGCCUGAGAGGGCGACCGGCCAAACUGGGACUGAGACACGGCCCAGACUCCUACGGGAGGCAGCAGUGGGGAAUAUUGCACAAUGGCGAAAGCCUGAUGCAGCGACGCCGCGUGAGGGAUGACGGCCUUCGGGUUGUAAACCUCUUUCAGCAGGGAAGAAGCGAAAGUGACGGUACCUGCAGAAGAAGCACCGGCUAACUACGUGCCAGCAGCCGCAGUAACAC
rnacentral:rRNA from 1 species